UUCAAUUAGCCUUAUACUGCACCAGUUAGAUAUUAUAUCUAGGUCGGAUUGAAGACGGUUAGUAUCACAAUCUGUAGCAAUUUCUCUAAAGAAAGCACAAUCAUCAGCGAAGAGAUGAAUGUUAAAAGUAACUUGCGAACGAAGGUCGUUAAUGUAGAUUAAGAACAACAAAGGACCGAGAACCGAUCCUUGGGGCACUCCGGAGGCAAUAGGGCACAUCGGUGAAUUGUAGCCUUUAGCAUUAACGUAUUGUGAGCAAUUAACAAGAAAGAAUUCGAUCCGUUUUAAAUUAUUAGCAUGAAUAUUGAAAUGAGUUAGUUUGUGGAUUAGAAGUUUGUGACAGACUUUAUCGAAUGCUUUUGAAAGUCUAAAAAGUUGCAGUCAGCGCAUGAUGAGCGAUCAAGAAUUCGAUGCAACUGAUCAGUGAAAGUUACGAGUUGAGUCUCACAUGUGUAUGAUUUCCUAAAGCCAUGUUGGGCAGAUAAAAAAAUGUAUUGCCUUCAAGAAAGUCGACGAGGCUUUUGAAAACAAUGUGUUCUAGCAGUUUGCAGCACGUUCUGGUAAGUGAGGUGGGGCGAAGUAUUUAGUUUUGCUGAAUUUUUAUUACCAGAUUUCUGGAGAGGAACCGCCUUUCCGACCUUCCACUGACGAGGCAAAGCGCCUGUGUUGAGUGACUGCUGAAAAAUUUUGGUUGGGUUAAUAUACCUGUACGGAGAAGUAUUAAGAACUUAGUGUUAGUUGAGUCGAAGCCAGAUGAAGAAUUGUUUCAAGCUUGUCAAUAAGAGCUGCCUGAUAAAAUCUUGAAACCGAUCUGCUUUGGUAGUAGAGUCGAUAGGUGAACGAGCUUAUGUAUCUGUGGAAGGCGUCGCCCAAAGUGAGCGCCGAGAUGGAGUUCAGAAGGUGAGCAUGGGAUACUUGUCAAAGGCCUUCUCCAGGUCUAGGCCUAAGAUGCCUCUUAUAUCUCUCGUGGCGUUGUCGAUGAUUUGACACUUGUUGACCUUCAUCACGUCUUGCAUGGACAGGGUCGGACAAAAUCAGAUCAUGUUGUACGAAAACAAUGAAUGAAAGAAAUGAUAAAUUAAUGGAAAUGAAAAUGAAUGAAAAAACAACUAGCCGCAGGUGGGGAACGAUCCAUUACGCGUGCGAUGCUUUUACCAACUGAGCUACUGCGGUGCUGUUUACCCAUCCAUUUCUGGGCUGUUUAUGUUUUACUACUAGAACUAACAAUGGAAGUGUUAGCCAGUGCCACCACUCGCAAACCUUUAUGGCAGAUGUGUAACAUCCUUUCUGUCGCAGGCGUCAUGAGUACGUGAUCUUUUUGGGUGAAGGCAACUGCUCAACAAACCCACACAUGCUACCUGAAGGCAUUACUUGACUUUUCGUGGCUUCGAUCAUGUUUUUGAGUUGUUGUAUACACAAAGCUAUUCGAAGCCAUCCCACAUGGGAAAAAACGACAACCCGUGUCAUUUGCCAAGCAGCAGUCGCUAGGUUGAAGAAGUGCACUUUGGAAGUAGAUUCUUCAAAAGCCACUGGGCCUGCCACCAGCUGACAUGCGUUUCUUCGUCCUCCUUAGUCCUGUGCCUUAGUCCUAGAAUGUGGAUGCGGGGUCAGUUUUUCUGGACAUGCCAUUCAUAGUAUAUAUAUUCUAGUCAGUCAAUGCAAAGCAUGGCAUCUCAUUCGUUACCUAUAUAUACAUUUAGUCACAAUCAAUGCAAAGCAAGCAGAUGUACAUAAUUUGCAAGAAUAAAAAUUUGUA